rnacentral:rRNA from 1 species
UACGUAGGGUGCAAGCGUUGUCCGGAAUUAUUGGGCGUAAAGAGCUCGUAGGCGGUUUGUUGCGUCGGCUGUGAAAUCCCGAGGCUCAACCUCGGGUCUGCAGUCGAUACGAGCAAACUAGAGUGUUGCAGGGGAGACUGGAAUUCCUGGUGUAGCGGUGAAAUGCGCAGAUAUCGAGGAGGAACACCGGUGGCGAAGGCGGGAUCUCUGGGCGAGUGAACUGACGCUGGAGGAGCGAAAGACGUGGGGAGCGAACAGGA